GACGAACGCUGGCGGCGUGCUUAACACAUGCAAGUCGAACGGAAAGGCCCUGCUUUUGUGGGGUGCUCGAGUGGCGAACGGGUGAGUAACACGUGAGUAACCUGCCCUUGACUUUGGGAUAACUUCAGGAAACUGGGGCUAAUACCGAUUAGGCGCUCCUGCUGCUUGGUGGGGGUUGGAAAGUUUCGGAGGUUGGGGAUGGACUCGCGGCUUUUCAGCUUGUUGGUGGGGUAGUGGCUUACCAAGGCUUUGACGGGUAGCCGGCCUGAGAGGGUGACCGGCCACAUUGGGACUGAGAUACGGCCCAGACUCCUACGGGAGGCAGAAGUGGGGAAUAUUGCACAAUGGGCGGAAGCCUGAUGCAGCAACGCCGCGUGCGGGAUGACGGCCUUCGGGUUGUAAACCGCUUUCGCCUGUGACGAAGCGUGAGUGACGGUAAUGGGUAAAGAAGCACCGGCUAACUACGUG
rnacentral:rRNA from 1 species